AUGGAGCCGGCUCCUUCGCUGUCUUGCUCUUGGGCUCUUCUUCUGCUUUCUCCUUGUUUGUCAGGUUGCCAAAAGCUUUUUUCUCCGACUCUGGCUUCUCCGGGCCUUCAGGAACGAGUAAAGGACUCAUUGCUAAGGAUAUUCUGUUUCACUUGACAAAGCUGCCCGGAUUAAGAUGAAUGUGAAUGAGCUUGGCAGAUGUGGGAGCUGACCAGGAAAGACGCUGUCCAGGUACCAGGCCAGCAGGGCAUAGAGCAGCGUGUCCACACCCAUCAUGCAGAUGGAGGUGAGAAAGGAGAACUCGUCCCCCUCCAGAGGGCUCGUCUGGAUGUUGUCCCACUGCAGACCCAGGCCCUGUUCUUCAUACCGGGACAGAUAAAGAUUAACCCAAAUAGACAUAAAACAAAAAAUGAAAAAGACAAGCC